AUUGAACGCUGGCGGCAGGCCUAACACAUGCAAGUCGAGCGGAGCGGCGGACGGGUGAGUAAUGCCUAGGAAUCUGCCUGGUAGUGGGGGAUAACGUCCGGAAACGGGCGCUAAUACCGCAUACUAUCAGCUGAGCCUAGGUCGGAUUAGCUAGUUGGUGGGGUAAAGGCCUACCAAGGCGACGAUCCGUACCUGGUCUGAGAGGAGAAUCAGUCACCCUGGAACUGAGACACGGUCCAGACUACACCUACAACCACCAAUUCAAAAUAUUAAGCAAUGUAGGAAAGCCUGAUCCAGCCAUGCCGCGUGUGUGAAGAAUUUCUUCGGAUUUUAACGCACUUUAAGUUGAGAGGCGUUACCAACAGAAUAAGCACCGGCUAACUACGUACCAGCAGCCGCGGUAAUUC
rnacentral:rRNA from 1 species